rnacentral:lncRNA from 1 species
GAGAGUUGAAGGAAAUACAAGACAAGCUGAAUGAAGACUACUUCAACACACAGGUAAUUGAGGAAGAAAAGACAGCCUUACAGAAUAUUGAAAAGUGGGAAGCAAUUCAAGAACAAAUAAUGAGACAAAAGUCAAGAGCCACUUGGAUCCAACUGGGGGAUCAAUCGGACAUCGUUUAGUUGGGUUUUUGAUCAAAUGUGAGAUUCGGAAGUUUUAGUUUAACUUAGG